CAGUCGCCGCGGGAAUACGGAGGGGGCUAGCGUUGUUCGGAAUUACUGGGCGUAAAGGGCGCGUAGGCGGCCUGUUAAGUCGGAUGUGAAAGCCCGGGGCUCAACCCCGGAACUGCAUCCGAGACUGGCAGGCUUGAGACCGGGAGAGGAGGGUGGAAUAUCCAGUGUAGAGGUGAAAUUCGUAGAUAUUGGAUGGAACACCGGUGGCGAAAGCGGCUCUCUGGCCCGGAUCUGACGCUGAGGCGCGAAAGCGUGGGGAGCAAACAGGAUUAGAUACCCGUGUAGUCCCUGUCUCUUAUAC
rnacentral:rRNA from 1 species